rnacentral:misc_RNA from 1 species
GAUGAAGAACGUAGUGAAAUGCGAUAAGUAAUGUGAAUUGCAGAAUUCAGUGAAUCAUCGAAUCUUUGAACGCACAUUACGCCCCCUGGUAUUCCGGGGGGCAUGCCUGUUCGAGCGUCAUUACAACCCUCAAGCUCUGCUUGGUAUUGGGCCCCGCCAGUUCUGGCGGGCCCUAAAGUCAGUGGCGGUGCCUUCCGGCUCCGAGCGUAGUAAUUCUUCUCGCUCUGGAGACCCGGUUGUGUGCUUGCCAACAACCCCCAAUUUUUUAAGGUUGACCUCGGAUCAGGUAGGGAUACCCGCUGAACUUAAGCAUAUCAAUAAGCGGAGGA